UGCUGGCGCUCAUACAAGGAGCUUCAAGCCUUCAAGGACUCGCCAUUAAUGGAUGCCAGAUUACAGACAAAGCCAUUGCAGCUUUAGUUAGAAAGCAUGGAAACAGUCUCCACAAAAUAGAAGUCUUUGGUU